UACGAAGGGCCCGAGCGUUGCGCGGAUUCAUUGGGCUUAAAGCGUACGCAGGCUGACUUGUAAGUGCCUUGUGAAAGCCCACGGCUCAACCGUGGAAUUGCAGGGCAUACUGCAGGUCUUGAGGCCGGUAGGGGCUGCCAGAACUCUAGGUGUAGCGGUGAAAUGCGUAGAUAUCUAGAGGAAUGCCGAUGGUGAAGACGGGCAGCUGGGCCGGUUCUGACGCUCAGGUACGAAAGCGUGGGGAGCAAACAGG
rnacentral:misc_RNA from 1 species